UUUAUUGUUUUCGUUUCCAAUUACGUUUCGUGGUAGGUAGUCCCAGUGUACGUAGGUCGCUUCUAGUGUCUUUUCUAGACAUUUUGCUUUGAAAUGUUCAAGGAGAAUGAAGAUAUAAAGUACGAUAAUUAAUAGGAUUAACUACUUCUCCCGUACAAAUUACCAAUUCAUAUAUUAUACAAAACUGUUGCUAUCAAUAAACCCGCAUAUGCUUGUCAUAAAAAAGAUAUUAAAAAAAAUAACUAACUAUUUCAAAAUCACCAUUCGCCACCUACUACUUUCGACAAAU
rnacentral:lncRNA from 1 species